GUCUCUUUGUUGUAUUUAAUAUAAAGAGUUUAACCUGCCCGGUGAUGUAUUGUUUAACGGCCGCAGUACUUUGACUGUGCGAAGGUAGCAUAAUUAUUUGCCUUAUAAUUAAAGGCUUGUAUGAAUGGUUUGACGAGAAUAUAUCUGUCUUAAUUUAAUUUUUUAGAAUUUAACUUUUAAGUGAAGAGGCUUUUAUUUAAUUGAUAGACAAGAAGACCCUGUCGAGCUUGAUUUUUGUUUAUAAAUAUAUAUUUUUAUAUUAUUAAUAAAUUUUAGUUGGGGUGACUGAGGAAGUAUAUGAGUUUCCUUAUUAUUUGUUUGAAUUUGUUUAUUUUGAUCCAUUAAUUUUAUGAUUAGUAGAAUUAGUUACCGCAGGGAUAACAGCAUAAUCUUUUUUGAGAGUUCAUAUCGAAAAAUGGGUUUGUGACCUCGAUGUUGGAUUAAAGUUUCCUAAGGGUGUAGAAGUUCUNANGGGUUAGUCUGUUCGACUAUCAAAAUUUU
rnacentral:rRNA from 1 species